AUUCAGAGAGGAACGUAGGUUCGAAUCUCGGUGAAACACCAAAAUGAAGAAGACGUUUUUUCUAAUAGCGGUCGCCCCUCGGCAAGCAAUGGCAAACCUCCGAGAGUAUUUCUGCCAUGAAAAAGCUCCUCAUAAAAAUAUCUGCCGUUCGGAGUCGGCUUAAAACUGUAGGUCCUUCCAUUUGUGGAAGAACAUCAAGACGCACACCACAAAUAGGAGGAUGAGCUCGGACAAAUACCAAACGCGCUAAUUAUUUAUUUUUUUUUAUGUUGAGCGUCUGGCAUGUGCCUUGGACGCUUUCAGCGAAUGCGAAUAUUUAGUGUAUGAAAAACUUGUCGAAUCUUAUGAAGAUUUUAUAUAUUCUAAAUAAGAGUAUUAUAGCCACAGCGUAAAUCGAUUUACUGGCACGAGAAUAUUUUACGGCAUAUAGCAACACAAAGCAGCUGGUGUGUUAAUGAAUUUCUUUUAAAUAUUAUAUACAAAAUUAUUAGACCGUCCACUUUGGUAACUCGUAAUUUUUUUCUGUAAAUCAGAAAUUCUACAAAAACAAAAUGAACGACGCAAAUUAACGAAUACAACUUUAACGAGUUUGGUGUGAAAACCCCUAUAAUUGUGUUAGCAGCGCAUAAUAGAUUUAAAAUUAUCGAUAGUUAUCCAUAGUUGAUUCCAAUCAUUGAUAACAUCGAUUGUUCUAUUUACAUAUGAUUUUCCACCACUAGGACGGGAUAAGUAUUCGAAUAUUGUAAACAAAAGCAUUGAAAUAUUAUUAUGACAAAUGCAAUAUAAUUAAUCUAAAUCUGCAUGUAACUUUACAAAUAUGACGGAUUCUGUACACAAAUGUGGUGAUGUGAUGAGAGCAGGUGAACGAGAUUAUUCCCUCAGCUGUGUUUACUGCGGUGACAGGUUUUCAACCUUAGAAAAGUUUGCAAAUCAUGUAGAAGACGAACAUUUAUCGAGAGGCAGUAAUCAGGAAUAUUUAGAACUUAAGAUUAUUGAAGAGCUAUCCGAUGACACGGAGGAAGCUAAGCCCGAAGAGAGAAAUGUGUUCAUUAAUAUAGAAGUCCUUGAUGAUAUAGAAGAAACCGAGGAAGUCAAUGAAACCAGAGAAGAAAAAACAGAAUUAAGAGAAAAUGUAAUGGAGUUGGAAUGCGAUGAAAAUGAAGAAUAUUUGUAUGCUUCAAGAGUGGAUGAUGAAGGCGGAUAUGAAGAAACUGAAUUAGAUUUGAGUGAUACAGAUGAAGAAUCGUCAAGUGAUUCAUUGAAAAUGUUUGACAAGGAAACAAUAGCAACAAUAUUUUUACAUUUCGAGAAUCAUUCUAUACUUUGGGACAGAGAUGACCCAACUUCUAAAAACCUUGCUUUACGUUCCGUUGCAUACAAAAGCAUUGCAUCCGAUGUUGGGAAGUUAGACCAAUGGAAAAAAGUGAGAGAUGUGGUACGUAAGCUUAACCACAGACUUCGCCAGGAACUCGAUAGAAAAAGAAAUUACCUGUCACUAGGCAUGAGUUAUACACCACUGUGGAUAGAAGAUAUGGACACCUUUCUUCAAAUUAAAAAGGAGAGUAAGAAAUACGCUGCGCCUAAAACCGUACUCUCGGAUUCCCAAUUCAGAACAUUUAUCAAAAUUUAUAAAAGUUUAACGUGCCUUUGGAAUGAUGUCCACAUUGAUUACCGAUUACCAAACAAACGACAGGAGGCACUGAUUGAAUUUGAAAAAUUGCUUAGGAAUUUGGGCAUUUCUCUAACACAGUCACAAAUAGAACAAGAAAUCGCACGGACACGCAAAAUUUGUUGGCAAGAGAAAAAACGGAAGCUUAAAUGUGAGGAAAUGAAAAUUUCAUACGUACCCGAGUAUGCUUACUAUGACCAAAUCAAAUUCCUUGAAACAGAUGUUGGUCCAUUUAGAUGUGGGAAAUGCAAAGAGAUACUCCCUGGACUUAAUACAUUUAAAGUGCAUAAAUCAAAACAUGAUGGUAUUAAACCUUUCACUUGUCCUCUAUGUGGUAACGGUUUUACGACUGUUCAUAAUUUGAAUAUUCAUAUAAAUCGGCAUACAGGGGAUUAUAAAUACAUAUGCAAAUAUUGUGAGAAAGGUUUUCCGGCCCUGUCAGAACAGAUCAUCCAUGAGCGCAGUCAUACAGGCGAAAGACCUUACUUUUGUGAUCAAUGUGGAAAAACAUUUCGUGCUUGGGCAUAUUACGAUUCACAUAUUCGACGCCAUCAAAAUCGACCUGGAUAUGAAUGUAGUGUAUGCUUCAAGAAGUUCUUUGGAGCAUAUCAGUUAAAUGAGCACAUGAGGGUGCACCGAAAGGAACGGGAUCAGGUGUGUAAUGUUUGUGGAAAGGGAUUUAAAAUGGCAAAAUACCUGCGGCAACAUAAACAAAUUCAUUCAGUGAAAAAAAAAUAUAUGUGUAAAAUUUGCGAUAAGGCGUUUGCUCAAUAUGCUGGUCUUAGUGGGCAUAUGAAAUCUCAUGGCACUACCCUUGUAGGCAAUAAUAACAGAAUAAACACAACUGCCGAUGAUAAACAAGACUGAUAGAGUACAAGAUUACGUUCUACUGGUGCAGUAAUGGGAGAACCCGAAGAUUGCACAAAUAAAUCACUGUGUGUGUGACGUCACACUGGUGCAAUUUGUGCGCACGGGAUAGAGAAGAGUUUUAUUUGUCUCUUUAGUAUAAAAUCGAGCUUGUGGAAAAAGGUAUACACAUAUUAAUAUGUUGCAUUUGUAAAUAUGUAAUUCUUAAUAUUUUAUCUCAAAGGGCGUCAGAAAGGACGCUAAGAUUUUGGGUGAAUCUAGAGGAAAACUAUCAAAGAUGCUGCCAAUAUAAGCGUCACAAAAAAUACAAAUUGGCUGUAAAAUAUGAAAAAUUACAACUCUUUGCUUUGCAGAUAUUAGCAAUAGAGAUAUAACUUAAAAUAUAACAUGAAUAGCCAAAUUCAAUAAAUUUGUUUUAUCGAAAUUAUUGGAAGCAAUCAAAAAUUUAGUUUUCAGAUGUUUAGUUAGUAUUGUAUAUAAUAAUACGUUCACAUAUAAGUAAAUGAUCUACUUUUUCGCGCUUUACUCAAAAUGAUCCUAGAUAAUAACGAUACUUAUUGACAUACAACCCUGUUU